GUAGGUGGCAAGCGUUGUCCGGAAUUAUUGGGCGUAAAGCGCGCGCAGGCGGUCCUUUAAGUCUGAUGUGAAAGCCCACGGCUCAACCGUGGAGGGUCAUUGGAAACUGGGGGACUUGAGUACAGAAGAGGAAAGCGGAAUUCCAAGUGUAGCGGUGAAAUGCGUAGAGAUUUGGAGGAACACCAGUGGCGAAGGCGGCUUUCUGGUCUGUAACUGACGCUGAGGCGCGAAAGCGUGGGGAGCAAACAGGACUAGAUACCCUGGUAGUCCACGCCGUAAACGAUGAGUGCUAAGUGUUAGGGGGUUUCCCGCCCCCUUAGUGCUGCAGCUAACGCAUUAAGCACUCCGCCUGGGGAGUACGGCCGCAAGGCUG
rnacentral:rRNA from 1 species